GUAUUUCAUGGAGUGUUCUCUUAGUCGACUAGCAACUUUGAGCCAGCUUCCUCUUCUCUACCAGGACUGAGAACAGCACAUCUGACAGUGUGCCCCUUAUAAUGUAUCGUCCCCAUCUCUCUCGAGCAGCUCAUAAUCACCGAUCUCGCUGCGAUAUCUCUUGUCAACGCGAUUAUAUCUCUGGGUGCGCCACCUGGUCCCGCUGCUAAUUUCCUCACUCUGAACGCGGAGGUUAUCAUAGGCCUUGCAGGGGUGUCUUCAAUUUACAUGUGUGUAAGCAUGUCUUUGAUAAACACAGGCAAUGUCUC